CAAAAGACAUUUUCCAUAACUAAUAUGCCUCAUUCAAAAAUAAUGAUAAUGAUAGUAAAUAACUAAUCUGCCUAAAAUCCCAUUUGAGUGGCAGAAACAAAGGUUAAAACCCAUAAACUCCUUUUGGGACAGAAAAAUAGUGGUAACUUCUGACACAAUUGACCAAAAAAGGGUUACAGAUGAGUAGUGGCACGAUAAAAAG
rnacentral:misc_RNA from 1 species